rnacentral:rRNA from 1 species
AGUGGAUGGGGAGCAACCUAGUUGUGCGUGUGUAAAGGUAGUGCCAAGAAAAGCGAUGAUCAUGUUGAAAAUCAAUUCCCGGUACCCGAAACCGACACAGGUGGGCAAGUAGAGAAUACUAAGGGGCGCGAGGUAACUCUCUCCAAGGAACUCGGCAAAAUGACCCCGUAACUUAGGGAGAAGGGGUGCCACCGAGAGGUGGUCGCAGUGAAGAGGCCCAGGCGACUGUUUAGCAAAAACAUAGGUCUCUGCAAACUCGAAAGAGGAGGUAUAGGGGCUGACGCCUGCCCAGUGCCGGAAGGUUAAAGAAGUUGGUCAGUUUUAGGAUGAAGCUAGCGACUGAAGCCCCGGUGAACGGCGGCCGUAACUAUAACGGUCCUAAGGUAGCGAAAUUCCUUGUCGGGUAAGUUCCGACCCGCACGAAAGGCGUAACGAUCUGGGCGCUGUCUCGGAGAGAGGCUCGGAAAUAGGAUUGUCUGUGAAGAUACGGACUACCUGCAUUUGGACAGAAAGACCCUAUGAAGCUUUACUAUAGCUUGGAAUUGUGUUCGGGCUUCCUGUGCGCAGGAUAGGUGGGAGGCGUAGAAGGUAUUCUUGUGGGGAUACUGGAGCCAACGGUGAGAUACCACUCUCAGGAGGCUAGAAUUCUAACUUAAUUAAGGACAGUUUCAGGUGGGUAGUUUGACUGGGGCGGUCGCCUCCAAAAAGGUAACGGAGGCGUACAAAGGUUCCCUCAGACUGGUUGGAAAUCAGUCGAAGAGUGCAAAGGCAGAAGGGAGCUUGACUGCGAGAAGUACAGUUCGAGCAGGGUGGAAACACGGUCUUAGUGAUCCGACGGUGCUGUGUGGAAGGGCCGUCGCUCAACGGAUAAAAGUUACUCUAAGGAUAACAGGCUGAUCUCCCCCAAGAGUUCACAUCGACGGGGAGGUUUGGCACCUCGAUGUCGGCUCAUCGCAACCUGGGGCGGAAGUACGUCCCAAGGGUUGGGCUGUUCGCCCAUUAAAGCGGUACGUGAGCUGGGUUCAGAACGUCGUGAGACAGUUCGGUCCAUAUCCGAUGUAGGCGUGAGAAUAUUGAGAGGAGCCUUCCUUAGUACGAGAGGACCGGGAAGGACGCACCGCUGGUGUACCUGUUAUGAUGCCAAUUGUAAACGCAGGGUAGCCAAGUGCGGAGAGGAUAACCGCUGAAAGCAUCUAAGUGGGAAGCCCACCUCAAGAUGAGUAUUCUGGUGUAAGGUCACGGGAAGACGACCCGUAAAUAGGCACGAGGUGGAAGUGCAGAGAUGUAUGAAGCCGAAGUGUACUAAUAGACCGUCGGCUUGACU